UGGCUCAAUUGGUAGAGCGUGGUGUUUGCAACACCAGGGUUGUGGGUUCAAAUCCCAC
rnacentral:tRNA from 1 species